UACAGAGACUGCAAGCGUUAUUCGGAUUCACUGGGCGUAAAGGGUGCGCAGGCGGUCGGGUGUUUCAGAUGUGAAAUCCCGAGGCUCAACCUCGGAACUGCGUCUGAAACUACUCGACUAGAGUACUGGAGAGGGUAACGGAAUUCACGGUGUAGCAGUGAAAUGCGUAGAUAUCGUGAGGAACACCAGAGGCGAAGGCGGUUACCUGGACAGUUACUGACGCUCAGGCACGAAAGCAUGGGGAGCAAAAGGG
rnacentral:rRNA from 1 species